rnacentral:lncRNA from 1 species
GUGGGGAACACCUAUGGAUGCACCAGAGUGCAACUACUCAGACCCCAGUGUGCAGAAGGGCCCUGGCUCCAUGCCGUUUCCAUAUCCAAGCCCAAGCUCAUCUAGAGCUUCAGCAAAUCCAAGCCUCCCUGAAUUCCCUGCAAGACCAAACUGAGCCCUACAACUCCCACUACACUGGUUAGCUGCCAGCCCCAGCCUCUGCUCCUUCCUGGGCCCCUGUCGGCACAGUUCUGAAGUCCUACAAGAAUGUUGAGAUCCUAAGCCGACUCUCACCCAAGAGGUAAACAACCAGGGGCCUCCAGGGGUAGAGAACAUACCCAGACAGGUUCUGCUGCCUGUAGGCUUCAUGUCCUUCCCCUACAACACGCCAUGCUUGCCAGGCUGGAAGAGGGGCUCCAGAAACUUGGAAACCUGGGCCUGUAGCUGGCAUAUGGAAAAGAGGCCUGGAAAAGCACCACUCCUGUCCAUGAAGCCCCCAGAUGGAACCAGGUCCUGUUCAGAAACCCCAUCUGUGCCUUUGGAGAGACUGCCCCGAGCACACAGGCCCAGCAACCGCCAUCUAUGGCCCCCAGGACCUAAUCCCUUCUACAUAGGGUUCAGUGCAUGAACAGCAAGAGGACCUUGUGCAUGAAUAAUUUGUUUCCAUACUACAGAAAGAAUCCCAGACUUCUUAGAGAACCCAGUGACUUUUUGCACCUUAAAUCUGUGAAAUCCUCAUGUUUUCUUCUGCCGUAUCCAUAGUUCAAACAAAGAUGAGGCAAAGCUAGACGCAUUCCUGAAGGAACCCAAGAAAUUCCUCUCUUUCUCUCUCUGGAAUGAAAUGAAUUCUCUAGACCACCAGUUCUAACCUUCAAAAACCAAACCUGUUUGUGAGCUGUCCUUCAAAUACUACUGUAGACCCCAGUGUUUAUUCAUUAAAUUUUUUAAAUAUUUGUUUUAUUUGGAAUCAAAGUAUUUGUAAUUUUAGUAUUUGUAUUAAUAUCAGGGAGAAAUGUUUAAAUCUGUCUAUGCCAUAUGUGCCUCUGGCUUAUUGCCCAAUUAAUUGUAGCCUCAGGCUAAACUUUGGUUUCUGUCUUUAAUUUUUGUCAGAAGAAAUAUAACUGAUCUCAAAACA